UACGUAGGGUGCAAGCGUUGUCCGGAAUUAUUGGGCGUAAAGAGCUCGUAGGCGGUCUGUCACGUCGGACGUGAAAAUCCAGGGCUCAACCCUGGACCUGCGUUCGAUACGGGCAGACUAGAGUUCGGUAGGGGAGACUGGAAUUCCAGGUGUAGCGGUGAAAUGCGUAGAUAUCUGGAGGAACACCGGUGGCGAAGGCGGCAUCCUGGACCAACACUGACACUGAGGAGCGAAAGCCAGGGGAGCAAACGGG
rnacentral:rRNA from 1 species